UGCCCCCUCCUCGGGAAUAGCCGCGGGAAACCGCGGGUAAUGCCCGACGACCCGGGGACCGCGCAUGCGGCCCCCGGCAAAGCCCAGGCGGGAGGGGAUGGCUCCGCGGCCCAUCAGGUAGACGGCGGGGUGACGGCCCACCGUGCCGACAACGGGUAGCCGGGUUGAGAGACCGACCGGCCAGAUUGGGACUGAGACACGGCCCAGACUCCUACGGGAGGCAGCAGUGGGGAAUCUUGCGCAAUGGGGGCAACCCUGACGCAGCGACGCCGCGUGCGGGACGGAGGCCUUCGGGUCGUAAACCGCUUUCAGCAGGGAAGAGACAAGACUGUACCUGCAGAAGAAGCCCCGGCUAACUACGUGCCAGCAGCCGCGGUAAUACGUAGGGGGCGAGCGUUAUCCGGAUUCAUUGGGCGUAAAGCGCGCGUAGGCGGCCUGGCAGGCCGGGGGUCAAAUGCGGGGGCUCAACCCCCGCCCGCCCCCGGAACCUCCGCGGCUUGGGUCCGGUAGGGGAGGGUGGAACACCCGGUGUAGCGGUGGAAUGCGCAGAUAUCGGGUGGAACACCGGUGGCGAAGGCGGCCCUCUGGGCCGUGACCGACGCCGAGGCGCGAAAGCUGGGGGAGCGAACAGGAUUAGAUACCCUGGUAGUCCCAGCCGUAAACGGUGGACGCUAGGUGUGGGGGGACGAUCCCCCCGUGCCGCAG
rnacentral:rRNA from 1 species